AUACCAUACAAGUUUGGAAGAAAUAUAUAAACUCACACGCACAAGAAUUUGUUGCAGUGAAGAGAUGGAUUUCAAACUCAUGUCUGUUUUUUUUUGCAUCUUGUUGAUUUCAAGCCUCUUCUCAAUUGAAACAGAAGAUUUAAAGACCUCCUCUACAACUCAAGUGUAUGUGGCCUCAUGGUGCAGGAGGAUCCUCAUUGAUCCAAACACUUAUCAAGGGCCGGGAUCUGGUGCACCGGACCUUGGUCAAUGAUUUACUCAAAAUCAGGUUUUCAGCCGAGACAUGGUGACUAUCAUUAAGCUCCAAUUAUUUACGUUAUAUAUAUUUGUUUAUUAACGUUUCCGAAGAUGACUGUAAAAUCUGGUUGGCAUGAUGCAACAUAAUUGCUAUGUGUAUUUGUGAUUAUAUUCGGUAUACUUUAUGCCUUCUGUGGAAUUUGAGAUGGCGGUAAUUGUUAUAUUUGUUUUAAAUUGGAAAUUACUGCGUUCUGUUCUUAAA